rnacentral:rRNA from 1 species
UGGGGAAUCUUGCACAAUGGGCGAAAGCCUGAUGCAGCAACGCCGCGUGGGCGAUGAAGGCCUUUGGGUCGUAAAGCUCUGUCCUUGGGGAAGAACAAAAUGACGGUACCCUUGGAGGAAGCCCCGGCUAACUACGUGCCAGCAGCCGCGGUAAUACGUAGGGGGCGAGCGUUAUCCGGAAUUAUUGGGCGUAAAGAGUGCGUAGGUGGUCUUGUAAGCGGGGGGUGAAAGGCAUCGGCUUAACCGAUGUUAGCCCCCCGAACUGUGAGACUUGAGUACAGGAGAGGAAAGCGGAAUUCCUAGUGUAGCGGUGAAAUGCGUAGAUAUUAGGAGGAACACCAGUGGCGAAGGCGGCUUUCUGGACUGAAACUGACACUGAGGCACGAAAGCGUGGGGAGCAAACA